rnacentral:rRNA from 1 species
GUAGGUGGCAAGCGUUGUCCGGAAUUAUUGGGCGUAAAGCGCGCGCAGGCGGUCCUUUAAGUCUGAUGUGAAAGCCCACGGCUCAACCGUGGAGGGUCAUUGGAAACUGGGGGACUUGAGUACAGAAGAGGAAAGCGGAAUUCCACGUGUAGCGGUGAAAUGCGUAGAGAUGUGGAGGAACACCAGUGGCGAAGGCGGCUUUCUGGUCUGUAACUGACGCUGAGGCGCGAAAGCGUGGGGAGCAGACAGGGAUUAGAUACCCUGGUAGUCCACGCCGUAAACGAUGAGUGCUAAGUGUUAGGGGGUUUCCCGCCCCUUAGUGCUGCAGCUAACGCAUUAAGCACUCCGCCUGGGGAGUACGGCCGCAAGGCUG